GUCUGCAUGGCAUAGUGGUUAGAGUGUUAGACCAUGAUUCUGGAGACCAGGUUUCGAAUCCUCACUUGGCCA